rnacentral:lncRNA from 1 species
UUUUACACUCCAUCUUCAUCCAUUCAUCCAUUUUGUCCUAAACCUUUUCACACAUUACUUUCAAAACUUGAGAUAAAUAUUGUGCAAACAUCUUCAUGCUUUCAAAUUAAAAACCUGGACCCCAAGUCCUUGACUUUUCAAACUCCAUUUCAUAAUACUUCUUUUGAAUCAAUCUUAAUCAUACUUUGACCCUCCUUUU